rnacentral:rRNA from 1 species
UAGGGAAUAUUGCUUAAUGGGCGAAAGCCUGAAGCAGCAACGCCGCGUGCACGAUGAAGGUCUUCGGAUCGUAAAGUGCUUUUUUAGAGGAUGAGGAAGGACAGUACUCUAAGAAUAAGCCUCGGCUAACUACGUGCCAGCAGCCGCGGUAAAACGUAGGAGGCGAGCGUUAUCCGGAUUUACUGGGCGUAAAGCGUGUGCAGGUGGUUUGGUAAGUUGGAUGUGAAAGCUCCUGGCUUAACUGGGAGAGGUCGUUCAAUACUGCCAGACUUGAGAGUGAGAGAGGGAGGUGGAAUUCCGGGUGUAGUGGUGAAAUGCGUAGAUAUCCAGAGGAACACCAGUGGCGAAAGCGGCCUCCUGGCUCAUUUCUGACACUCAUACACGAAGCUAGGGUAGCAAACGG